GGUCUGUUAGCUCAGUUGGUAAGAGCGUGGUGCUGAUAACGCCAAGGUCGUGGGCUCGAUUCCCCCACCGGCCA
rnacentral:tRNA from 1 species